AGCUCCAAUAGCGUAUAUUAAAGUUGUUGCAGUUAAAACGCUCGUAGUCGGAUUUCGGGGCGGGCCGCCGGUCUGCCGAUGGGUAUGCACUGGCGGGCGCGUCCUUCCUUCCGGAGACUGGCCCUACUCUUAACUGAGCGGGGUCGGGAGUCGGAUCGUUUACUUUGAAAAAUCAGAGUGUUUCAAGCAGGCAGCUCGCUCUUGCAUGGAUUAGCAUGGGAUAAUGAAAUAGGACUUUGGUGCUAUUUUGUUGGUUUCG
rnacentral:rRNA from 1 species